rnacentral:lncRNA from 1 species
CUGGGCUGACGACCUGGGCAGCGAUCCUGCACAGUCUCCUCGCACGGGCGUGGAGCCAGCCGCCUCCCCAGCAACAGAGAAAGCACAGAAAGCGCCGCAACCUGAAGAGGAAGCUGGGAGCACAUGAGAGUGAAGUGCGGAGAAGUGGUCAGGGACAGAGCAGGUCUGAUGAUGCCCUCCUGUACGUGCUUUCUACUGUGC